AUACGGAGGGUCCAAGCGUUAUCCGGAAUCAUUGGGUUUAAAGGGUUCGUAGGCGGGUCAAUAAGUCAGAGGUGAAAUCUUGCAGCCUAACUGUAAAAUUGCCUUUGAUACUGUUGACCUUGAAUUACUGUGAAGUGGUUAGAAUAUGUAGUGUAGCGGUGAAAUGCUUAGAGAUUACAUAGAAUACCGAUUGCGAAGGCAGAUCACUAACAGUAUAUUGACGCUGAUGAACGAAAGCGUGGGUAGCGAACGGGAUUAGAAACCCUAGUAGUCC
rnacentral:rRNA from 1 species